GGCAAGGUGGCCGAGUGGUUAUGGCGCUGGUUGUUAGUAACCCCUUUUCCGACUAUCUUGGCAUUUCACCGACUAACAACCCCUCAGUUAGGUUUACCAAAACACCAGUUCGAAAGAGCGUGGGUUCGAAUCCCAUCCUUGUCA
rnacentral:tRNA from 1 species